rnacentral:rRNA from 1 species
CUGCCUAUCAGAGGGGAAUAACAGUGAGAAAUCAUUGCUAAUACCGCAUAUGCUCACAGUAUCACAUGAUACAGUGAGGAAAGGAGUAAUCCGCUGAUAGAUGGGCUUGCGUCUGAUUAGUUAGUUGGUGGGGUAACGGCCUACCAAGACUACGAUCAGUAGCCGGACUGAGAGGUUGAACGGCCACAUUGGGACUGAGAUACGGCCCAGACUCCUACGGGAGGCAGCAGUCGGGAAUAUUGCGCAAUGGAGGAAACUCUGACGCAGUGACGCCGCGUAUAGGAAGAAGGUUUUCGGAUUGUAAACUAUUGUCAUUAGGGAAGAUAAAAGACUGUACCUAAGGAGGAAGCCCCGGCUAACUAUGUGCCAGCAGCCGCGGUAAUACAUAGGGGGCAAGCGUUAUCCGGAAUUAUUGGGUGUAAAGGGUGCGUAGACGGAAGAACAAGUUGGUUGUGAAAUCCCUCGGCUCAACUGAGGAACUGCAACCAAAACUAUUCUCCUUGAGUGUCGGAGAGGAAAGUGGAAUUCCUAGUGUAGCGGUGAAAUGCGUAGAUAUUAGGAGGAACACCAGUGGCGAAGGCGACUUUCUGGACGAUAACUGACGUUGAGGCACGAAAGUGUGGGGAGCAAACAGGAUUAGAUACCCUGGUAGUCCACACUGUAAAC